rnacentral:rRNA from 1 species
AACACAAGUAUUAAAGGUCAUGCCUGCCCAGUGAAAAUUUUUAAACGGCCGCGGUAUUCUAACCGUGCAAAGGUAGCGUAAUCACUUGUCUUCUAAAUAAAGACCAGUAUGAACGGCUAAAUGAGGAUGCCCCUGUCUCUUAUAACCAAUCAGUGAAACUGACCUCCCAGUACAAAGGCUGGGAUACACACACAAGACGAGAAGACCCUGCGGAGCUUAAAGCCAAGCACUAACCUACCCCCUAGUGUUGAGCUUUUAGUUGGGGCGACUUUGGAAAAAAAAGAAACUUCCAAUCAGAGCCACAAGCUCUAGCCGAGGCCAACAAGCCAAAGCAACACACCAUGACCCAGUACAACUGAUCAAUGAACCAAGUUACCCCAGGGAUAACAGCGCCAUCUUCUUCAAGAGUUCAUAUCGCCAAGAAGGUUUACGACCUCGAUGUUGGAUCAGGACACCCAAAUGGUGCAGCCGCUAUUAAUUGGUUCGUUUGUUCAACGAUUAAAGUCCUACGUGAUCUGAGUUCAGACCGGAGA